rnacentral:rRNA from 1 species
GACGAACGCUGGCGGCGUGCUUAACACAUGCAAGUCGAACGAUGAACCCGGAGCUUGCUCCGGUGGAUUAGUGGCGAACGGGUGAGUAACACGUGAGUAACCUGCCCCUGACUUCGGGAUAACUCCUCGAAAGAGGUGCUAAUACCGGAUACGAAUCCUGCAGGCAUCUGCGGGAUUGGAAAGUUUUUCGGUCAGGGAUGGGCCCGCGGCCUAUCAGCUUGUUGGUGAGGUAGUGGCUCACCAAGGCGACGACGGGUAGCCGGCCUGAGAGGGCGACCGGCCACACUGGGACUGAGACACGGCCCAGACUCCUACGGGAGGCAGCAGUGGGGAAUAUUGCGCAAUGGGCGAAAGCCUGACGCAGCAACGCCGCGUGAGGGAUGACGGCCUUCGGGUUGUAAACCUCUUUCAGCAGGGAAGAAGCGAAAGUGACGGUACCUGCAGAAGAAGCACCGGCUAACUACGUGCCAGCCGCCGCGGUAA